rnacentral:rRNA from 1 species
UACGGGGGGGGCAAGCGUUGUUCGGAAUUACUGGGCGUAAAGGGCUUGUAGGCGGCCAACUAAGUCAGACGUGAAAUCCCUCGGCUUAACCGGGGAACUGCGUCUGAUACUGGAUGGCUUGGAUUUGGGAGAGGGAUGCGGAAUUCCAGGUGUAGCGGUGAAAUGCGUAGAUAUCUGGAGGAACACCGGUGGCGAAGGCGGCAUCCUGGACCAAUAUUGACGCUGAGGAGCGAAAGCUAGGGGAGCAAACGGG